rnacentral:rRNA from 1 species
GACGAACGCUGGCGGCGUGCUUAACACAUGCAAGUCGAACGAAGUGGCGAACGGGUGAGUAACGCAUAAUCACCCUGCCCUUCAGAGGGGGACAACAGUUGGAAACGACUGCUAAUACCCCAUACUGAAGGUGGGGAUUCCGUCUGAUUAGCUAGUUGGAGGGGUAAAGGCCCCCCAAGGCGAUGAUCAGUAGCCGGGCUGGGGGGGUGAACGGCCAAAUUGGGACUGGGACACGGCCCAGACUCCUACGGGAGGGAGCAGUGGGGAAUCUUCCGCAAUGGACGGAAGUCUGACGGAGCAACGCCGGGGGAGGGAUGACGGCCUUCGGGUUGGAAAGCUCUGUUAAUCGGGACGCGGUACCGGAAUAGAAAGCCACGGCUAACUACGUGCCAGCAGCCGCGGUAAUUC